rnacentral:rRNA from 1 species
UACGUAGGGCGCAAGCGUUAUCCGGAAUUAUUGGGCGUAAAGAGCUCGUAGGCGGUUUGUCGCGUCUGCCGUGAAAGUCCGGGGCUCAACUCCGGAUCUGCGGUGGGUACGGGCAGACUAGAGUGAUGUAGGGGAGACUGGAAUUCCUGGUGUAGCGGUGAAAUGCGCAGAUAUCAGGAGGAACACCGAUGGCGAAGGCAGGUCUCUGGGCCGAUAACUGACGCUGAGGAGCGAAAGCGUGGGGAGCGAACAGG